CCAAGCACCUUCUUGGAGCCAGACGCUGGAUCUGAGGUGAACACUGGAUACAGGGUCCCAUCCUCUCAGAUCUUCAUCUGGCUCUGCCCUGGAUGCAUCUCCAAGACUCCUGGCCUGGUCUUUUCUUUGAAGCCCGAGUGACUCUGGACUCUGGCUGCAGUGACCCAGGGAGCAGUCUUUGAUGAUUUAUCUGGAACCCUGGCGGUCCUCUGAAGACCUCAUCCUUCCCAACUCUUGGGAUGAAGCCUCCCGUGGAUAAGAACCCUCACUGGUAGACAUUCAGCAGAGGACUGGACGUGGCUCUGGAGGACAGCUCAAGGGGUAUGAGGGAGGCCUGGCAGCCCACCGCCCCCUCCCCUCCCGCCGGACCCUGCCUGCUGGGCCCUGUUGCCUGGGGCUGGAGGCUGCUUCCUGACCCUGUGUGGACCUGACUCCUCCUCACAUCCCUGUUGGUGACCGGACAGAGCUCGGCCUGGGCCUAGGCCCUGCUGGCCACACCCUCCCCAAGGCCGGGUCGCAGAGAACCCUACAGAUGGAGGCGGGAACAGGGGUGGGAGCUCCUGGGGGGGCUUCUGGCUGGAGACUGUCUUUCUUCUGCCAUUUGCCCUGUGA